GAUUUCAUUAACCACUUCUCCUUACUCUCUCUAACCUCUGAGUUUUCUUCUUCUUGCUCUGGCUUCUCUCUACUUUUCCACCACAUCCCACCGUUGAAAUUUCAAAUAGGUGGUGUUUUCUCGUUCACGGAGUUGAGAGCUUUCCAUUCAUCCUAAAUUCUGUUUUGGACGGGUUGUGUUGAACUUGCUUCUGUGCAAGGGUUACUAUUUUGGGUUUCUUUUAAAGAGUGUUGUGUUUAUAACCACCAAGUUGUAUAUGCUUGUGUGGUGUUCCUUUUUGCAAUGAUCAUCCAAUUGGAUGUGAGCAGAUGAAGAAAAGGUGUCCGUGGAGCAAGCGUUGGAAGAUGGUGAUGGGGCAGCUUUGGAAUUCUAGAAUCACAAUUAGUAGAGCUACUUUGAUAAUACUCCAAAAUGGUCAUCUAUGUUUAAGAGACCAAUUGUGACUAUAUUUUUGGAUGACUGUAAUCAAUAGUCUGUUAUAUG
rnacentral:sRNA from 1 species